AGCGAACGCUGGCGGCAGGCCUAACACAUGCAAGUCGAACGGAUCCUUCGGGAUUAGUGGCGGACGGGUGGGUAACACGUGGGAACGUGCCCUUUGGUUCGGAACAACUCAGGGAAACUUGAGCUAAUACCGGAUGUGCCCUUCGGGGGAAAGAUUUAUCGCCAUUGGAGCGGCCCGCGUCUGAUUAGCUAGUUGGUGAGGUAAAGGCUCACCAAGGCGACGAUCAGUAGCUGGUCUGAGAGGAUGAUCAGCCACAUUGGGACUGAGACACGGCCCAAACUCCUACGGGAGGCAGCAGUGGGGAAUCUUGCGCAAUGGGCGAAAGCCUGACGCAGCCAUGCCGCGUGAAUGAUGAAGGUCUUAGGAUUGUAAAAUUCUUUCACCGGGGACGAUAAUGACGGUACCCGGAGAAGAAGCCCUGGCUAACUUCGUGCCAGCCGCCGCGGUAAUAC
rnacentral:rRNA from 1 species